rnacentral:rRNA from 1 species
AGUCACUGACAUUAGAUACCCCUGUAGUCCAGGGUGUAAACGCUGCAGACUUGGUGUUGGAGGCCCUUUGGGGGCAUUCAGUGCCGGAGAGAAGUUGUUAAGUCUGCUACUUGGGAGUACGUCCGCAAGGAUGAAACUUAAAGGAAUUGGCGGGGGAGCACCGCAGCGGGAGGAGCGUGCGGUUUAAUUGGAUUCAACACCGUAAAACUCACCAGGGAAGACUGUUACAUGAAGGCCGAGAUGAAGACUCUGCUAGAUUUUCAG